CUGUGACUCCUACGGGAGCAGCAGUGGGGAAUAUGCACAAUGGGCGCAAGCCUGAUGCAGCCAUGCCGCGUGUAUGAAGAAGGCCUUCGGGUUGUAAAGUACUUUCAGCAGUGAGGAAGGCGGAGUCGUUAAUAGCGGCCUCGUUUGACGUUUAGCUGCAGAAGAAGCACCGGCUAACUCCGUGCCAGCAGCCGCGGUAAUACGGAGGGUGCGAGCGUUAAUCGGAAUUACUGGGCGUAAAGCGCAUGCAGGUGGUUUGUUAAGUCAGAUGUGAAAGCCCGGGGCUCAACCUCGGAAUUGCAUUUUGAAACUGGCAGACUAGAGUACUGUAGAGGGGGUAGAAUUUCAGGUGUAGCGGUGAAAUGCGUAGAGAUCUGAAGGAAUACCGGUGGCGAAGGCGGCCCCCUGGACAGAUACUGACACUCAGAUGCGAAAGCGUGGGGAGCAAACAGGAUUAGAUACCCUGUAG
rnacentral:rRNA from 1 species